CUACGGGAGGCUGCAUUGGGGAAUAUUGGACAAUGGGGGCAACCCUGAUCCAGCCAUGCCGCGUGCGUGAAGAAGGCCUUGGGGUUGUAAAGCGCUUUCGGCGGGGAAGAUGAUGACGGUACCCGCAGAAGAAGCCCCGGCUAACUCCGUGCCAGCAGCCGCGGUGAUACGGAGGGGGCUAGCGUUGUUCGGAAUUACUGGGCGUAAAGGGCGCGUAGGCGGGCGAUCAAGUCAGGGGUGAAAGGCCUGGGCUUAACCUGGGAAUUGCCUUUGAAACUGAACGUCUAGAGUCCGGAAGAGGAUGGCGGAAUUCCCAGUGUAGAGGUGAAAUUCGUAGAUAUUGGGAAGAACACCAGUGGCGAAGGCGGCCAUCUGGUCCGGUACUGACGCUGAGGCGCGAAAGCGUGGGGAGCAAACAGGAUUAGAUACCCUGGUAGUC
rnacentral:rRNA from 1 species